rnacentral:rRNA from 1 species
AAAGGUUGACCUCGGAUCAGGUAGGGAUACCCGCUGAACUUAAGCAUAUCAAUAAGCGGAGGAAAAGAAACCAACAGGGAUUGCCUCAGUAUCGGCGAGUGAAGCGGCAACAGCUCAAAUAAUCG